rnacentral:snoRNA from 1 species
UUGCUGUGAUAACAAUCUUGGGACACCUUUGGAUUAACCAUGGGAAAAAAAACGUUCUGAACAAC